rnacentral:snRNA from 1 species
AUAAUUACCUGGCAGGAGAGAUACCAUGAUCAUGAAGGUAGUUUUCCCAAGGUGAGGCUCAUCCUUUGCACUACAAGUGCGCUGAUCCUGCAGUUUCCCAAAAUGCAGGAAACCCGAAUGCGCAAUUUGUGGCAAGUUGAUAUGUCCUGCAAGGGGAGCUCUGU